rnacentral:misc_RNA from 1 species
GAUGAAGAACGUAGCGAAAUGCGAUACGUAAUGUGAAUUGCAGAAUUCAGUGAAUCAUCGAGUCUUUGAACGCACAUUGCGCCCCCUGGUAUUCCGGGGGGCAUGCCUGUCCGAGCGUCAUUGCUGCCCUCAAGCACGGCUUGUGUGUUGGGCCUCCGUCCUCCUCCCGGGGGACGGGCCCGAAAGGCAGCGGCGGCACCGCGUCCGGUCCUCGAGCGUAUGGGGCUUCGUCACCCGCUCUUGUAGGCCCGGCCGGCGCUUGCCGACACAUCAAUCUUGUUGCCAGGUUGACCUCGGAUCAGGUGGGGAUACCCGCUGAACUUAAGCAUAUCAAUAAGCGGAGGA